rnacentral:rRNA from 1 species
GUAGGAUAGAGGCCUACCAUGGUGGUAACGGGUAACGGGGUGUUAGGGCACGACACCGGAGAGGGAGCCUGAGAAACGGCUACCACAUCCAAGGAAGGCAGCAGGCGCGCAAAUUACCCAAUCCCGACACGGGGAGGUAGUGACAAUAAAUAACAAUACAGGGUUCUUUGAAUCUUGUAAUUGGAAUGAGUACAAUUUAAAUCUCUUAACGAGGAACAAUUGGAGGGCAAGUCUGGUGCCAGCAGCCGCGGUAAUUCCAGCUCCAAUAGCGUAUAUUAAAGUUGUUGCAGUUAAAAAGCUCGUAGUUGAAUUUCGGGAUCAAUACGUCGGUCRUGCUUUYKGGUACGWACUGGCGUCAUUGGUUUCUCCUUUCUGACGAACCAUGAUGUCAUUAAUUUGGUGUUAUGGGGAGUURGGACUGUUACUUUGAAAAAAUUAGAGUGUUUAAAGCAGGCAUWAGCUUGAAUACAUUAGCAUGGAAUAAUGAAAUAGGACGUUYGAUCCUAUUUUGUUGGUUUCUAGGAUCAACGUAAUGAUUAAUAGGGAUAGUUGGGGGCAUUAGUAUUCAAUUGUCAGAGGUGAAAUUCUUGGAUUUAUUGAAGACUAACUACUGCGAAAGCAUUUGCCAAGGAUGUUUUCAUUAAUCAAGAACGAAAGUUAGGGGAUCGAAGACGAUCAGAUACCGUCGUAGUCUUAACCAUAAACUAUGCCGACUAGG